GACUGCCACCUGAACACUUUGGGCUCCUCAUGCCUCUGAAUCAACGGGCAAAGAAGAGAGUUAUAGAUCCUAACCACCCAGGAGAAAUUCGGUGGCCACUACACAAACAGAAUGUAUUAAUAGUAAUUAAAUUUAUAUCAUAGUCUUGAAAUUACAAGAUAUCCAACUUGAAGCACGCAUUGGGAGAAGAAUAAAUAUCAUCCAAAGACAAAAAAACAACAAGACGACAUUGUGUUCUACUAAAAGGAAAAAAGCCUAUUUUCAGAUGUACUUAGAAGAGAUACACCAUGUUAGGUGGAAGUUUGACUUUGUCAUGAUCUUUUGUGUAGUCUAAGUAUGAUUUAAGAUGUUUAUGAGUGCCAAAUUGGUAAGGAGUGGAUUGUGCUGGCUCUGCAAACUAUGUCAGCUUGGCUGUACUGGGCUACAUUUCCCAGAGUACCCUUCCCUGUGUAUCUCCACUUAGGGUGGACUAAGAGAGAUUCUUGCAGGCGAUUUAGUGGGUGGAAGUAAAGCAACAACUAUUUUAUAUCUUGCACAUAUUUUUGUCAGUCUGGUUAAAUUAUUGAUGUGAGGCAUGAGGUGGACCUACAACUAGUGCACCUUCCCUUGGAUAUUUCUUCAGCUUUUCUGACUCUGGGGCCAGGUGUUUGUAUUUAACUCCACGGUGAGGAGACUCAUCUUCUGACGGACCUAGCCUAUUCCAUCAAGUCAUCUUCCCUUUCCAACUACCUUCCUUGUGGACUUCAAGCUCCAGCAUCACAAGCAAAGACAAGAACCUUGCAGAAACUAUUUAACUAACUCCCACAAUUGCAUAAGGAUCUAAAUGACAAUAUUUCUGCAGUGAACCAGUUCUAUUGUUUUAAAUAUCACCCUUAUUAAAGAGAGCUUUGACACUUU
rnacentral:lncRNA from 1 species